AUUAUCACCUAUAAAUACAUACUUAUUGCCCAUUUAUUGACCAUAUAACACUUUUGGUCAGUUUUUGGUUUCUCUCUCAGCUCUCUCUCAACUCUAUCUCAUAGUUCUCUCUUCCUCUCUCAACUCUCUCUCUCUCUCUCUCUCUCUCUCUCUCUCUCUCUCUCUAUGACCACGCCUCUUCUCACGAAGAAGAAGAUCAAGAACAACCUACAAAACCCACAGCUUUGCCUUCAAAACCCAGUUCUUCCUGUUCCUCUCUGUUUUCUUCUCUACCCAAAUCCAAUUAAAAGGGUGACAUUUUGAGCUAUUUCCCUAUAAUGGAAUCGUGCAAGGCCCCCAAAUCCACCCCCUUUUGACUUAAAACAACAAAUCCACAAACCCUAACCAGUGAGAGAGGGAGCUAUUUCAAUGGCGAUACAGCCCUCGAGCUCGAGCAAAAGACAUGCUUUAGGUGAAACGACUCAAAGCACUUCUUUGGGCAUUUGGGGACCUGUAAAGACAUGUAUUCAGAGCCAAGCUUAUCUUUGUGCAAUUCAGGUUAUGUUCUAUCUGAAGGCUUGAAAGAUUGAAUAGAAUAUGGGAAGCAAAAUUACAUGCAAUCCAAAUUUCCAUAGUCGUGGUAUGUUUGAGGGACGCAUACAAGAAGGUUUGUCUAGUGGUGGUAUGUCUUAAGUCUUGUAUAAUUGAAUUCAGUAUUUUUUGUAGGGUGAUAUAUACUUGCCUUGAUUCAUUGAUGGAUUAUGGAAGUUAGACAUGAUAGCAAAAUGGCCUACCAUUUAGUAGUUUUUUAUAAGGCCUAACAUUUAUGUCGAAAAUUUUCUAUGGUUCAUUGGAUGGAUUAUGGAAGUUAGACGUUAUAGCAAAAGGGUUUAUCAGUUUCCAUCUAAUGUUUUUGUUAAUUUAGUACAAGGGUGGUUGGAUGCACAUCUCAGAGGUAGCAAAUCCAGUUUUAGCUCUUACAUUAAUGGCAGCACUGCGAAUUUCCAAGAAGGAUUUAGCAUGUCAGUAGAUAAAAGGGAUUUUACCUUUACAAAGGAGCUGCAUGAGAAACUCGCACUAAAUUUCUUUCCCAUCCGAUCUUGUCUGCUGAACAGAUUGGGGAAUGUUUAUGUAUCCAAUUAAAUAAUUUGGACAAGAUUUUAAUGAUGUUUUCAUGUAAUGUGUGUGUAUGUAUGUUUUUAAGACAAAGGAAAUUUAAUACAUAUGCAGAUAAUUUAAUGCC